GACUACAGAGAGAAAAUUUCUCUAGAUAAAGUCACGCAAGUCAUUUGCCAAGCCUGUUGAUUUGAGGAUGAUGAUUCACAUUCAGCUUUCACUAAAGGACAAGGCUUGCUGAGGCUCAUUGCAGAGGUCACAGCCAUCAUUGGAAUUCUGAAAGGAAGUGGCACUGAGUGAUCCUUGCAUGUGUGAGUGUGUGUCCUCUGAGUGGAGCAGAGGAGAGACAGUGAACCACGUGAAGUACUUGAGUUGAUGACAACUACAGUCAUUGCAUUACUACUGAAAUAACCCAAUGGGAGAAGAGACUGCUGCCCAAACCAGCCAACAACGCACCAGGAGGAGGGACUUAACAUUCGGGACAUAAAUAAAGGCCGGGGAAAACCAACAUGGCAGCGCGCAGGAGAGGAGAAUUACAGGAAGGAAUCAAAAGCCAGGGAGAGCGAGAGCAGUGCCAGAGAGAACCAGAGCAGUGCCAGAGAGAGCCAGAGCAGAACCAGAGCAGAGACAGCAUACUACAGCGCGAUAUACGAUGGGCAGAGUUCUAACUCUGCCCGAAAUCUGAGCAGCGUUGGCCAGCGGCCCGUGUGGGGUGACGGCGGCUUCAAGAAGACAGAGUGGACUGCUGAUGAGCCGCCACCAUGAGGAAAGGGCUUGCAUCUCCUCCACCUCCGGAGCAACAGGGUCAGUCACCGACAGGCUUGCCAGGGCCUGCCGCUCUGGACUAUUCCUCUUCCUCAAAUUGGACUGUGUGCAACAGCAUUAAGGACUCUUACCUGGGUUGGGCUUCUUGGAAUGCAUUUUAAUUUUAUAGUUUUAGUAUUUCUUAGUUUUAGCAUUUUAUAGUUUUAGUAUUUCUUUAGAUUUGGC